rnacentral:rRNA from 1 species
UACGUAGGGACCAAGCGUUGUUCGGAAUUACUGGGCGUAAAGGGCUCGUAGGCGGCCAACUAAGUCAGACGUGAAAUCCCUCGGCUUAACCGGGGAACUGCGUCUGAUACUGGAUGGCUUGAGAUUGGGAGAGGGAUGCGGAAUUCCAGGUGUAGCGGUGAAAUGCGUAGAUAUCGGGAGGAAUACCAGCGGCGAAGGCGGCCUUCUGGACGGUGACUGACGCUGAGACGCGAAAGCGUGGGGAGCAAACAGG